rnacentral:rRNA from 1 species
UACGGAGGGUGCAAGCGUUAUCCGGAUUCACUGGGUUUAAAGGGUGCGUAGGCGGGCAGGUAAGUCAGUGGUGAAAUCUCCAAGCUUAACUUGGAAACUGCCAUUGAUACUAUCUGUCUUGAAUGUUGUGGAGGUAAGCGGAAUAUGUCAUGUAGCGGUGAAAUGCUUAGAUAUGACAUAGAACACCUAUUGCGAAGGCAGCUUGCUACACAAUGAUUGACGCUGAGGCACGAAAGCGUGGGGAUCAAACAGG